rnacentral:rRNA from 1 species
CCUACGGGAGGCAGCAGUGAGGAAUAUUGGUCAAUGGACUUACGCCUGAACCAGCCAAGUCGCGUGAGGGAAGACUGCCCUAUGGGUUGUAAACCUCUUUUGUCAGGGAGCAACGCCGGCUACGUGUAGCCGGACUGAGAGUACCUGAAGAAAAAGCAUCGGCUAACUCCGUGCCAGCAGCCGCGGUAAUACGGAGGAUGCGAGCGUUAUCCGGAUUUAUUGGGUUUAAAGGGUGCGUAGACGGUAAUGCAAGUCUGGAGUGAAAGGCGGGGGCCCAACCCCCGGACUGCUCUGGAAACUGUGGAACUGGAGUGCAGGAGAGGCAGGCGGAAUUCCUAGUGUAGCGGUGAAAUGCGUAGAUAUUAGGAGGAACACCAGUGGCGAAGGCGGCCUGCUGGACUGUAACUGACGUUGAGGCUCGAAAGCGUGGGGAGCAAACAGGAUUAGAUACCCCAGUAGUC